ACCAGCCCUCACCAGCACUGUAUGUUGCAGAUGGAAACAUCAUGGUUGUGGUUGCUCUUUCCUGUAUGAUUGUUUUCAUCCCACGUGCAGAUAAAGUGUGGCAAAAGCCAGGAUGAAAAUCCCAGAGUGGACUUCAGGAAAGAGAAGAAAGAAGGAUGAGCCCUGGCAGUACACCUCAGCUUUUGGGAAGAUAACAAAAUUACUGCUGAAGCCAGCAAGCAUUUCCAGUCCAGGUCUUCCCGAGGGAUUUCCCAAGGAUGCUGCGAGUGAUGCUACAUCCAUCCAUCCCAAGUCCUGGGUGUCCCAGCCUGCUCCGUCGGGUGCUGGCUGGGCAAUGCCAUGACGACUCCAAAUUCUUCUUGUCCAAAAAAGGAAAGUCCCCACACCUGGUGGUGCCUGCAGAGCAUUAGCAGCAGGAAUAGAGGGAAUGGGAAGUGCAGUCUGGGAAUGUUAGCAGGGAAGAAGAGGAACUGUGUUUCUCGUGCUCUACUUGGAACAAAAAAAAGAUGAUUUAAAGUGGAACAGUCCCUCUCAUGCUUUCUAAUUUAAUGUGAUCGAUGAUAAUCUGGUUGGACAACUACAAUUCUCACCAAUACUUUGGUGUCUUUUUGGGGAAUGGAAAAAGCAUUAUGCUGAUUUGAGCUGCGGAAUUACCAGUGGUCACUGAAGUGUACAAAUAAAAAUAACUCUUCCAGGAUGGUUUGAGAUUGGAGUACUAAAUGCAGCUGUGGUUGCUGCUUUCAGGAAACGGUAGAUUGAGUGAUUCAAUAUUAACUGUUUUAAACAUAACUAGCAAUACAGCAGGGUUUUAAUUAAAAGUGCCUAAUAGUAAGUAAUUAUUUUAACAAUUCAUACAGGAGCUAAAAAUAAGGUUCUCAUCAUUUUGUAAAGCAGGACACUGUUAAAGGAUGAUCUUUUUAUUCUAAAGAAUUUAAGGUGUUGUUCUGGGUCUGAAGUAGCAAAAAGACAUGGGAUUGUUGUCUCACUCAAGACAAGACAGCAACGAGCAUGAAGCCUGAAAGAGAAUGAUGUCCCCACUGCAGCUCCUGUGCACUGAGGCCAGGGUGUUCCAGUCUGGCAAUUUCUAGAGAUGCUGCAGAACCAGGAUUUCCACAGCCAAGGCAGUUUCCCCUUGUUGUGUGUUAGAAGAUCCCUGGCAGCAGAGAUCUGGGUCCCAAGGCCCAGGUCCUAUCAUAAGAGACAUAUAUCAACUGCUGAAAACACGUCUUCAGGACAAAAUUCUUUUGAGAAGGAAGUAUUACUGUUACCUCCUGCCUGGUGAAGCUCCAUCAACUCCUGACAGCCUGUGGGGCUGGGGUUUGGUGGCAGCUGGCAUGGGAUCUUGCCAUGACUAUGAACCACAGGUGGUUUUUGCCGGUCUGGAACCUGAACUUGUGAGUGAAGCUGAGCAUCUGUUUAAAAGCUUCAAUUCAGGGAUGUCUAAAUGAGAGCUGGAGAUUUGCUCCCCUCUUCAGACCUCACAGACAUUCAGCCUUCUCCAGCCUAGUGUUACUCAGGCUGUGUGGGACAAUUAUCCACCUAAACCUGGCAGCAGCUACUUCCCUGUUCCCUUGGAUUUAAAAAAAAAAGUCCUUGUCCUGGAAGCUGCGCUUCCCAUCCCAGAGAUAACAAACUUUCUGCCUAGAUGGCAACACUGCAGUAGCAGGAG